rnacentral:rRNA from 1 species
GAUGAACGCUGGCGGCGUGCCUAAUACAUGCAAGUCGAGCGAACAGAUGAGGAGCUUGCUCCUCUGACGUUAGCGGCGGACGGGUGAGUAACACGUGGAUAACCUACCUAUAAGACUGGGAUACCUUGGGAAACCGGAGCUAAUACCGGAUAAUUUAUUGAAACCCAUGGUUUAAUUGUUAAAGACGGUUUUGCUUUUACUUAUAGAUGGAUCCGCGCCGCAUUAGCUAGUUGGUAAGGUAACGGCUUACCAAGGCAACGAUGCGUAGCCGACCUGAGAGGGUGAUCGGCCACACUGGAACUGAGACACGGUCCAGACUCCUACGGGAGGCAGCAGUAGGGAAUCUUCCGCAAUGGGCGAAAGCCUGACGGAGCAACGCCGCGUGAGUGAUGAAGGUCUUCGGAUCGUAAAACUCUGUUAUUAGGGAAGAACAAAUGUGUAAGUAACUAUGCACGUCUUGACGGUACCUAAUCAGAAAGCCACGGCUAACUACGUG